CAAUAGUGUAUAUUAAAGUUGUUGCGGUUAAAAAGCUCGUAGUUGGAUUUCGGAACGCAUAGAUCGUGGUCCCUCGAAAUGGGGUGUUACUGGAUCUCUUGCUUCCUUCUUUUGAGUAACGUUGUGUUGGUCGGCCAGCGAUGGUCGAUUAAUCUGUUCUCGAUAGUUUACUUUGAAAAAUUAGAGUGUUUAAAGCAGGCGUAACCUGGCCUUGAAUACAUUAGCAUGGGAUAAUGAAAUAUGACUUUGGUUCUUAUUUUGUUGGUUUCUAAGGCUAAAGUAAUGAUUAAUAGGGAUAGUUGGGGCCACUCGUAUUGAGUUGUCAGAGGUGAAAUUCUAGGAUUUACUCAAGACGAACUACUGCGAAAGCAUUUGGCAAGGAUGUUUUCAUUAAUCAAGAACGAAAGUUGGGGGAUCGAAGACGAUCAGAUACCAU
rnacentral:rRNA from 1 species